UUUCUAGGGAGCAGAUUCCUAGCUUGUGUUAUAACUUAACUCUCCCUGUGACCGAGAUGUUAGGCCCCCGCCCCCAUAAAUGGGUUGUGUGUGGCACCUUUAUUAGGAAAAUGUGUGAAGCAUUCUGAUUUCUCUGGCCAGAUUAAACCAAAAGGGAAAUACCAUUCCAUGCCGGAUGUUGACCAAAAGUGGUAAAUCUCAGCUGAGUCAACAGUUGUCAGGGACCUGGGAGGGGUGCUGGGGUGUGUGCAUGCGUGUACUCGUGCCACGGAACAGCCGCAAGCCAGUGCUGGGCUCAAUCCCGUGACGCACAAGGUCACCUGGGACCCAGGUUCCCUUGGAGAAGUGGCACUCAGCCCCAGGAACACGGGACACGGGUUCGAGCCCUGGUCUGGGAAGAUCCCACGUGCCGCGGAGCAACUAGGCCCAUGCGCCAUAACUAGUGAGCCUGCGUGUCUGGAACCUGUGCUCCGCAACAAGAGAGGCCGCGAUAGUGAGAGACCCGCGCACCGCGAUGAAGAGUGGCCCCCGCUUGCCGCAACUAGAGAAAGCCCUCGCACAGAAACGAAGACCCAACACAGCCAAAAUAAAUAAACAAAUAAAUAAUUAAAAAAAA